AGCGGCGUAAGGGGCAGUAAUACCUGGGAACGUACCCUGAGGUCGGGGAUAGCUGCUAGAAAUGGCGAGUAAUACCCGAUGAUCUCGAGAGAGCAAAGGCUUGCCGCCUUCGGAGCGGCCCAGGCGAUAUUAGCUAGUUGGUGAGGUAAUGGCUUACCAAGGCUUAGAUGUCUAGCGGGUGUGAGAGCACGACCCGCGCCACUGGCACUGAGACACUGGCCAGACACCUACGGGUGGCUGCAGUCGAGAAUCUUCGGCAAUGAGCGCAAGCUUGACCGAGCGACGCCGCGUGCGGGAUGAAGGCCUUCGGGUUGUAAACCGCUUUGGUCCGAGAGAAAGGGAAACUUGAUCGAUCGGAGAAACAAGGACGGGCUAAGUUCGUGCCAGCAGCCGCGGUAAGACGAACCGUCCAAACGUUAUUCGGAAUCACUGGGCUUAAAGGGCGCGUAGGCGGCCGAGCGGGUCGCGGGUGAAAUCCCCCAGCUUAACUGGGGAACUGCCCUCGAUACCACUGCGGCUCGAGGAAGGAAGGGGCAAUCGGAACUGUCGGUGGAGCGGUGAAAUGCGUUGAUAUCGACAGGAACGCCGGUGGCGAAAGCGGAUUGCUGGUCCUUUUCUGACGCUGAGGCGCGAAAGCCAGGGGAGCAAACGGGAUUAGAUACCCCGGUAGUCCUGGCCUUAAACGAUGAGAACUAGGUAG
rnacentral:rRNA from 1 species